rnacentral:rRNA from 1 species
UACGAAGGGUGCAAACGUUGCUCGGAAUCAUUGGGCGUAAAGCGCACGUAGGCGGCUUCGCAAGUCGGAUGUGAAAUCCCUCGGCUCAACCGAGGACGUGCAUCCGAAACUGCGAGCUUGAGUACUGAAGAGGAUCGCGGAAUUCCCGGUAGAGGUGAAAUUCGUAGAUAUCGGGAGGAACACCAGUGGCGAAGGCGGCGAUCUGGGCAGUUCUGACGCUGAG